rnacentral:misc_RNA from 1 species
AAGUCGUAACAAGGUUUCCGUAGGUGAACCUGCGGAAGGAUCAUCAUUGAAUCUUUGAAUGAAGCAUCCCUGUGCACUGUUGGCGCACCUUUUAUAGGUGCGCACAUUAUACUCAACCCGCAUUGAUUUGAAUCUGCUCUUUACAAAAAAGCACACAACUUUUAACAACGGAUCUCUUGGUUCUC